UCUGAAUCUGCGAACGGCUCCGCAAACCAGUUGUAAGCAAUAGCAAGGAUGCUCGUCGAACCCGGGGCUCGCGCCCCGGCAAGUAGGCGGGCGACAAGGAUACCCCUGGUAAUCCUGAGGCUAAUACUUGAGCGUACGACCUUGGCAGCCCUCGCGGCAGCCGGGGACCGUGCGAUCAUUCAAAGCGGUGGGAAACCAUCCGGGAAAGGACGCACAGUCAAACCGCGGCAAAAAAUGGUUCGGCGGAAUCCCUCGGCCUUCGCGGUCGGGGGAGAAGCCGUUUCUCGCGGGUCUUGCACUGCGCUUCUGACCUAUCAACUGUAUAGCAGUGUAAGGGACAUGCUAUGGU
rnacentral:rRNA from 1 species